UUGGAGGGCAAGUCUGGUGCCAGCAGCCGUGGUAAUUCCAGCUCCAAUAGCGUAUAUUAAAGUUGUUGCAGUUAAAAAGCUCGUAGUUGAAUUUCGGGAUUAGUACGUCGGUCGUGCCUUAGGUACGUACUGGUGUUACUGGUUCCUACCUUCUGACGAACCAUCAUGUCAUUAAUUUGGUGUGGUGGGGAAUCAGGACUGUUACUUUGAAAAAAUUAGAGUGUUUAAAGCAGGCUCGCGCUUGAAUACAUUAGCAUGGAAUAAUGAAAUAGGACGUUGAUCCUAUUUUGUUGGUUUCUAGGAUUGACGUAAUGAUUAAUAGGGAUAGUUGGGGGCAUUAGUAUUCAAUUGUCAGGGGUGAAAUUCUUGGAUUUAUUGAAGACUAACUACUGCGAAAGCAUUUGCCAAGGAUGUUUUCAUUAAUCAAGAACGAAAGUUAGGGGAUCGAAGACGAUCAGAUAUCGUCGUAGUCUUAACCAUAAACUAUGCCGACUAGGGAUCGGAUGAUGUUAAUUUUUUAAUGACUCAUUCGGCGCCUUACGGGAAAC
rnacentral:rRNA from 1 species